CCUUGGAAGGGACCCCUUCAGGUCAGAACAACCCUGAUGUCACUCCUGGGUUUCUGACUGCUGCAUGUGCCAUCCACCCGCGGACCCUCCAUGAGCGUCCAGUGUCCCUCCCCCCCAGAGCUCCUGGUGUCACAGGCAGAAGUGACUGCACACAGUCUCCGGCUCCAGUGGGUCCCGGGCAGCGACGGGGCCCCCCAUCCACUACUUCACUGUGCAGGUGCGAGAGCUGCCCCGGGGAGAGCAGCAGACCUACUCCUCAUC